UACGGGGGGUAAGCGUUGUUCGGAAUUACUGGGCGUAAAGGGCUCGUAGGCGGCCAACUAAGUCAGACGUGAAAUCCCUCAGCUUAAACUGGGGAACUGCGUCUGAUACUGGAUGGCUUGGAUUUGGGAGAGGGAUGCGGAAUUCCAGGUGUAGCGGUGAAAUGCGUAGAUAUCUGGAGGAACACCGGUGGCGAAGGCGGCAUCCUGGACCAACAUUGACGCUGAGGAGCGAAAGCCAGGGGAGCAAACGGG
rnacentral:rRNA from 1 species